AAAAUCUCCCUUAACCUAAGUUCUUCUUAACUUUUUAUUUUUAGGAUAAACUUUUCCAAAUCACCAACUUGACCCAAACUUAAUUAUCUCAUAUUCUUUCCUCACAUUAACUUUCUCAAUUUCUCAUAUUUGGCCCAAUUAUUCUAUCUUCACAAAUUAAUAUAAUAAAAAUAAAUAAAAUAUUAUUUUUAAUUAUCAAAACAAUUCUAAGUUAUUCUACUUACUUAUAUCAUCUCUCUAUACCCCUAACUCAAGGAUACAUACUCCGCCAACA
rnacentral:lncRNA from 1 species